rnacentral:rRNA from 1 species
GGGUGAGCCUAAGCCAUGCAAGUCUAAUGGUUAGCUAAAUAAUCAUGGCAAACUGCUCAGUAACAAGUGAUUAACUUACCCUUUGGUGGGGCAUACCCUCGGGAAACUGAGGCUAAUUCCCCAUAGUUGAAUAUGCCUGGAAUGGUUUUUCAUCGAAAGAAUAUAACAAAUGCGUUAUAUUUGCCGAAGGAUAGGAUCGCUCCCGAUUAUGGUUGUUGGCGAGAUAAUGGCUCACCAAGCCUAUGAUCGGUAAGGGCCGUGAGAGCGGAGGCCCUGAGAUGGGAACUGAGACAAUGUCCCAGGCCUUACGAGGAGCAGCAGGCGCGAAACCUUUACAAUGCACGAAAGUGUGAUAAGGUUACCCGGAGUGCUAAAAGCACAACUUUUAGCUGUUAUAGUGUGUAGAUAACACUAUGAGAAAGGAGAGGGCAAGGCUGGUGCCAGCCGCCGCGGUAAAACCAGCUCUUCAAGUGGUCGGGACAAUUAUUGAGCUUAAAGUGUCCGUAGCCGGUUUGGUAAGUCCCUGGUUAAAUCUGGUAGCUUAACUAUCAGUCAGCUAGGGAAACUGCCUCGCUAGAGGGCGGGAAAGGUCUGAGGUACUCCAGGGGUAGCGGUGAAAUGCGAUAAUCCUUGGGGGACCACCAGUGGCGAAGGCGUCAGACUGGAACGCGCCUGACGGUGAGGGACGAAAGCCAGGGGAGCGAACGGGAUUAGAUACCCCGGUAGUCCUGGCUGUAAACGAUGCAUGUUAGGUGUUGGUAGGGCUAUGAGCUGUAUCAGUGCCGUAGAGAAAUCGUUAAACGUGCCGCUUGGGAAAUACGCUCGCAAGAGUGAAACUUAAAGGAAUUGGCGGGGGAGCACCACAAGGGGUGAAGCCUGCGG